UAAACGUUGAACGAAAACGCAUCACAUAGAGCAUUGCAAGGAUUACUGUAAGGACUUUUGUUCGUUAUUCAUGGUUAUGACUUUGAAGAGCGGGAGAAGCAGUUUAUUUCUUUCUAAGCAGGAUGGCACAAGGAAAAUUGUAUUCACCCUGUUGUGUUUGUGGUGUGCUAUUCAUUCUACAACUAGAGUUGGUGCUUCAACAACGGAGUCUACAACUUCAGGAUAUACAGCUUCAGAAACAACAACUGUACUUGCCACUUCAACAUCAGCAACAUC